AAUCCCCUGCAAAUUGAGAAAAACAAGCUGUGAUUUAUAUAAGCUGGGUAAUCAUGUGAUUUGCAGGAAAGCUCUCUGCCCCCCUCCCAGCUUCUCAUCCCCACGCUGGCCUCCGACUGGCAUGCAGCGAGAGUUUCAAGAAAGAGGCACCAGCGUUGGGGCCUGAUGAGGGGGCGGAAAGGGAGGGCGAUUCAUUCAGAAAGGGAGAAAAAGCCAAGCAAGCGGCAGCAAGGCGGGAAAAGGCCAACUAGGAGAGGGUGGGGGAAGGGAGAGAGGGGCCUCUGCGUUGUUUUCAUGGCUGCAGUUCUCUCCGUCGGCUAUCAGGAAAGGCCCGUUUUCUGCUGCUUGGGCGGUUACGGUCAUUCCAAGUCCAAUUCGGAAGCUGAUCCCGAGGGAGGAAGGGAGGCAUCAUGCGCUGUUGACAGUGUUGUUACACUCGCUCCACUUCUCGGAGCGGUGAGAAGUUCAAGGGUCGUAGCGCUGUCCCCCAGUUUGGGGCAACUUUGCAAGGAUAUCGUUACCGGAGGCUUAUUGUUGCUUUUUAAUAGCCAGCUGUCUCUGGGAAGCUUACAAGUGAUGAUGACAUUCCCCUGUUGCUUGCUCCCAGCAUCUGGAAAUCAGGGCCCUGCAUUUUCCUUUGCAACUUGACUGAGCCCUCAGGACAAGCUAAACUAAAGACGGUUUCCUCACCACUCCAUACUGUUCCAGGACCCUUUCCUCAUUUGCCCUUGUGCUUGCUACUGUUGCAUAUGUUUGCCGUACUUUGCCAGAAGCUGUCCUACCAGUUUGCUUUGUCUUGCCAGAAGUUCCAGUCUUCAGACUGCUCUGUGUGUGCACAUGCUUAUAAGCAGCAAGGCUGUAGCUCAGCAGGAUGGUUUGGGGAGGGGGGGACAGUUAUAGGAAACCAGCAGCAUAACUCUGUGAGAAUAUGGCAUCAUUAGCACAUAAUAGCUCCCCUCCUGCCCUUCCAACCUUCCUGUACCCGUAGAUAUGUGUGUGUAGGAGGGUAUGCAGAUAUUCUAGGAUGAUUCUCCUUUGUUAACCCCAAUUCAGAAAGUAUUUGGGAGGGCAUGGCAAUAAUGCAAGAUGUUAGUGAAUGGAUUUACUUCUCUCCAGCUUCCACUAAACUGAAAAACCUACAAGAAGGGUACCCUGAUCCAACAAGAUCCAGCGUAAUCCCUUCCAGGACACGUUGCCAAUGCAUCUUUUGAACACAGUUCUCACCUGAGCUCAGCUGAACUGGUUAGAAGCAUCAUAUGUUCUUCAACUUUGGGUCCCCAGAUGUUGUUGGACUACAACUCCCAUCAUCCCCUGACAGCAUGGUCAGUUGCCAGAGAUGAUGAGAGUUGUAGUCCAUCAAUAUCUGGGGACCCAAGGUUGAAGUACACUGCAAGAUUGGAGAUUGGCAUUCACAUCCAGGGUCAGCAGUUGCUAUGAGUGGCUGGUUGCUUACUAUUACUGCUGGAUCUGGGCCAGUAGGUACUAGUCUUUCUUCAAGGCAGAUGAUCUGUUCUGUAUCCUGCCAAACAGUCCCAUUGUUACAAUUAUUAUGCAUCUUCUAUUCUAUUCCCCCAUUUCUGAUUUCCAGUCAACAGCAAAACUGUUGAUUGCAUCAAAGUAUUACUUUUUCUUUUUUUUGAAAAUGUACUCAGGUAUGUAAAUAGCUCUGAUAAUCUGUGAGCCACAUUACACAUUAUUUAGCUGUACACUGUCAGAUGGGCUGUGGCUGCUUUGAGGCGGUGGGAAGGCUGUCGCACUGCAAGCCUUGACACCUCACCUCUCUCCCUCCCAGUAAGCCACAGUGACCUACCUGUGGGGAAGCUAGUGUAGCAGACUCAUCCCGCCCGGCAGGGCACUUCUGACUUUAUUCGGGAUAUCUGUUGGAGGAGGACCUCCCAAUAUAGAUACAUAUUUUAAAUAACAUGCAGUCCAGGAGGUACAAGAGUUGCCAAUUUGAUCAGAGCGGCACUGCUGGGGGAGGGGGAGUUUAUAAUCUUUUCUCUGCAAUCUAUUAAAAUGGCCAUCCUCAUGCUGAUUUUUUAUCCUGUACAUCUGGGGUGACUCACCUUUGGACCUCCAGAUGUUGGACUCUCAUAAUCUCUUGACUAUUGACCAUGUAGGCUGGGGCUGAUGGGAGCUGGAAUCCCAACAAUGGAGAGCCAAAGGUGAGUCAUCCUGGCUGUAAAAGGGGGAGGAAUACUGUAUCUUCCCUGGGGGGGUGUGUGAAACAGCAGCUGGGGAUAUGUGAGAGGAAACUGCAGAGAGAACAAAUGAAACACUCCUUUCCC